UGCUACAAUGGCGUAAACAAAGGGAAGCGAGAGGGUGACCUUAAGCAAAACCCAAAAAUAAACGUCCCAGUUCGGAUUGUAGUCUGCAACCCGACUACAUGAAGCUGGAAUCGCUAGUAAUCGCGGAUCAGAAUGCCGCGGUGAAUACGUUCCCGGGUCUUGUACACACCGCCCGUCACACCAUGGGAGCCGGGAAUGCCCGAAGUCGGUGACCUAACCUUUAAGGGGGAGCCGCCGAAGGCAGGUCAGGUAACUGGGGUGAAGUCGUAACAAGGUAAC
rnacentral:rRNA from 1 species